rnacentral:rRNA from 1 species
CUGAGUAGAGUGGCGCACGGGUGAGUAACGCGUGGGUAAUCUACCCUUGGAUUUGGGAUAACUCUGCGAAAGUGGAGCUAAUACCGGAUAGUCUGGCUUUAAAUAAGAAGUCGGUAAAGGAUGCCUCUGCAUAUGCAUUCGUCCGAGGAUGAGCCCGCGUCUCAUUAGCUAGUUGGUAGGGUAAUGGCCUACCAAGGCAACGAUGAGUAGCUGGUCUGAGAGGAUGAUCAGCCACACUGGAACUGAAACACGGUCCAGACUCCUACGGGAGGCAGCAGUGGGGAAUAUUGCGCAAUGGGCGAAAGCCUGACGCAGCAACGCCGUGUGAGGGAUGAAGGCUUUCGGGUCGUAAACCUCUGUCGGAAGGGAAGAACGGGCAUUGGUCUAAUAGGCCUUUGUUUUGACGGUACCUUUAGAGGAAGCACCGGCUAACUCCGUGCCAGCAGCCGCGGUAAUACGGAGGGUGCAAGCGUUAUUCGGAAUUACUGGGCGUAAAGCGCACGUAGGCGGCCUUGUAAGUCAGGGGUGAAAUCCCACGGCUCAACCGUGGAACUGCCUUUGAAACUGCAGGGCUUGAAUCCUGGAGAGGGUGGCGGAAUUCCUGGUGUAGGAGUGAAAUCCGUAGAUAUCAGGAGGAACACCGGUGGCGAAGGCGGCCACCUGGACAGGUAUUGACGCUGAGGUGCGAAAGUGUGGGGAGCAAACAGGAUUAGAUACCCUGGUAGUCCACACCGUAAACGAUGGAUACUAGGUGUCGGGGACUUGAUCUUCGGUGCCGUAGCUACGCGUUAAGUAUCCCGCCUGGGGAGUACGGUCGCAAGGCUGAAACUCAAAGAAAUUGACGGGGGCCCGCACAAGCGGUGGAGU